rnacentral:rRNA from 1 species
AGCAUGUGGAUUAAUUCGAUGCAACGCGAAGAACCUUACCUGGGCUUGACAUACACCAGAUCGGCGCAGAGAUGCGUUUUUCCCUUUGGUGGUUGGUGUACAGGUGGUGCAUGGUUGUCGUCAGCUCGUGUCGUGAGAUGUUGGGUUAAGUCCCGCAACGAGCGCAACCCUUGUCUUAUGUUGCCAGCACGUGAUGGUGGGGACUCAUGAGAGACUGCCGGGGUUAACUCGGAGGAAGGUGGGGAUGACGUCAAAUCAUCAUGCCCCUUAUGUCCAGGGCUUCACACAUGCUACAAUGGUCGGUACAACGCGUGUGCGACACUGUGAGGUGAAGCUAAUCGCUCUAAAGCCGGUCGUAGUUCGGAUUGGGGUCUGCAACUCGACCCCAUGAAGUCGGAGUCGCUAGUAAUCGCAGAUCAGCAACGCUGCGGUGAAUACGUUCCCGGGCCUU